CGGCAACAGCUCAAAUUUGAAAUCUGGCGCAAGCCCGAGUUGUAAUUUGUAGAGGAUGUUUCUGGCGACGUGCCUUCCGAGUUCCCUGGAACGGGACGUCACAGAGGGUGAGAAUCCCGUACGUGCCCGGUGGCCGCCCCCGUGUGAAGCUCCUUCGAC
rnacentral:rRNA from 1 species